rnacentral:misc_RNA from 1 species
GAUGAAGAACGCAGCGAAAUGCGAUAAGUAAUGUGAAUUGCAGAAUUCAGUGAAUCAUCGAAUCUUUGAACUCACAUUGCGCCCGUCAGUAUUCUGGCGGGCAUGCCUGUUCGAGCGUCAUUACGCCCCUCAAGUCCCCUGUGGACUUGGUGUUGGGGAUCGGCGAGGCUGGUUUUCCAGCACAGCCGUCCCUUAAAUUAAUUGGCGGUCUCGCCGUGGCCCUCCUCUGCGCAGUAGUAAAACACUCGCAACAGGAGCCCGGCGCGGUCCACUGCCGUAAAACCCCCCAACUUUUUAUAGUUGACCUCGAAUCAGGUAGGACUACCCGCUGAACUUAAGCAUAUCAUAACGGAGGA